rnacentral:rRNA from 1 species
GACGAACGCUGGCGGCGUGCUUAACACAUGCAAGUCGAACGGAAAGGCCCUGCUUUUGUGGGGUGCUCGAGUGGCGAACGGGUGAGUAACACGUGAGUAACCUGCCCUUGACUUUGGGAUAACUUCAGGAAACUGGGGCUAAUACCGGAUAGGAGCUCCUGCUUCAUGGUGGGGGUUGGAAAGUUUCGGCGGUUGGGGAUGGGCUCGCGGCUUAUCAGCUUGUUGGUGGGGUAGUGGCUUACCAAGGCUUUGACGGGUAGCCGGCCUGAGAGGGUGACAGGGGAAAUUGGGACGGAGAUACGGCCCAGACGCCAACGGGAGGCAGCAGUGGGGAAUAUUGCACAAUGGGCGGAAGCCUGAUGAAGCAAUGCCGCGUGCGGGAUGACGGCCUUCGGGUUGUAAACCGCUUUAGCCUGUGACGAAGAGUGAGUGACGGUAAUGGGUAAAGAAGCACCGGCUAACUACGUG